rnacentral:lncRNA from 1 species
AGAAUGAAGAUGGCUUCCUGUCCCGCUAGCGUCACGUCGGGAUCUGCCUUCACCAAGGCCUUCACUCGCGCCAGAGGCAACCUCGAGAGACGAGCCCCAGGCACACUCGUUGGGGCCUGGGGCUGCGAGGCCGCUGCCUCCCCAGCAGGUUUAUUAUAUAGGUAAAUUGCAUGUCAUGGGGAUUUGGUGUACAGAUUAUUUCAUCACCCAGGCCAUUAUAACUACAUUCUUAGAAUGUGAUCCCUUUCAACAUUUCCUGCACCUCUGCUUCUGCACACUACCACCAAAAGACAAGAAAGGCAAGGAGACGUGACUGGAGCAAGAAAAACAGUGUUUUUCACACAAGGAUGUCCACUCCUUGUUGGGAAUGGCUUAAGAUCGACCUGGGAAAGCAAAACAUCGCCAUAUCAUUUGGAGGAAAGGCACUGGUUGGAAGAGCCUGUUGGCGUGGCAAAGCCAAGGUCUUUAAAGUCCUCAGAGAAGGCAGGCAUAGCCACCACUGGAGGACUUCCUGAUAUGUGGUACAGAGACUGAUGAGGGCAUGGGGUGACAACCUUAGGUGCCAACAGCAAGGGGAUGGAUAUACAGGGUAAAGGAGGCUUGCUGCCAUCCUACGCCUUUGAACGCCACAAAUCAGAGAUGGUACCAUGGAGGAACAUGAACAGGUGAGAGCUGAGGCAUGGGUGCCCACACACAGCCCAAGCCCAGGUGCUAACAGUUGACCAUCAGUAGCCCAGUGCCCCGAAUUCAUCCUGCGCCUGAUUAUCACCCAAAAGCAGUGCAUCGGCACCAUUCUGGUGACUCAAUAUCACACAAUGGCACCAGCCAGCAGGAACAAUCCAAUUGCCAGGCUGCCCUCCUGCACAGAGCCCAAGCCACAGAGCCCUCAGAUAACUCCAUUGAUGCAAAUCUCAGAGUUCCUCAAGGAAACAGGUCAACCCUGCACAUGGAGUGGAGAUUCAGAAAGGCCCCAAAAAGGAAAAAAACAAGGAUCAGUGUCCAUGUAUGUCCCUGUAUGGGGCUGCCAUUUGUCCUAACCACCCUGGGGUCUGCCAUAGCUGAGCCAGCCCUACUGGAAGAGGAUAGUCAAAUAACCUCACUCGUAUUCUUUUGCCACUUACUGUGUUGCCCUAGCUUCCCUCCAGGGGAUCCUCAUUUUGUCCUAGGCUCAACCUUACCUUUGAUCACUUUAGGACUCAGGCACAAGAUUUCACAUUGCUGGGAAUCCAUUUUCAGUCUUUGAAAAGACACAGUGAUUCUUCAGGAAGUUUGUUAUCCCAAAGAUGCAACAGAGACAGAAUUUCCCAGCUUGAAGGGAUUUGAAACAUCCAUAAAGUUACAGAAAUUCAUAUCUGGAGGAGUCUUAACGGUCAUUCAGACCAACGCUUUCUCGGGUAUCUAUAACAUCCAAUGCCCUAGUUUCCCUGCUGUCUUUUUUGGCCACUCCUUUUCAAUCUCCUUUGCAGGCUACCCUUUACAGGGCUCAGUCUCCACACUCUUUUGUUCUAGAUUUUCCCCUGGUGACCUCACCGAGGCCUACAGCUUUAAAUACCAUCCAUAUGCUGAUAAUUCCCAAAUUUAUAUUUCCAGUCCCAAGCUCUCCACUGAGUUUCAGGCUCAUAUAUCCAAAUGUCUACUUCUUGCCUUCAGUAUACCUUACAAACCUCUCAAGUUUGACGUGCCUAGAACUGGACUCUGGAUUUUACCUUUUGCCCGUAUCAACAAGUUCCUCUCUUAGUCUUCCAAUCACAGAAAGGGCUCCACCAUCAAGAUGGACAUGAGCCUAAAACCCAAGAAUUCUUGUUUCCUGCCUUCCUUUCCUUCUCUCACAUUCAGUCUCCUGGUAGACUUGUUCAUUUACUUCCACCAUUUCUAUCUACUUCUUUUCAUCUCCAGUGCCAACAUUCUUGUCCAAGCCAUCACUCUCUCUCCCCAAACCACUCCAAUAGCAUCCUAACUGGUUUUCCCUACCCUUAUCUCACCUCAAUCCAUUCUCUGCAUAUUAGCUGGAGUGAUCCUUUCAAGAAGUGAAUACAAACCUUAAAUCUUUCAACAGCCCUCACUGCAUCCAGAAUAAAAUCCAAGCACCUAUAACUGCCUAAUAUGGCUUCUGUCCACAUCUAACCUCAAAUCUUACCUUCUGCCCUUGCUGUGCUCAAGCCUUUCUGGCCUUUCAUUUCCUUAAACACACCAAGCCUUUCCAGCAUCAGAGACUUUACAAUUCUUCCUGGAAUGCUCUUCCACUAAUUUCUUUAGGUCAUAGUUUGUGGUCAUUUGAAAACAUGUCCACAAAUUCUUUUCUAUCCUAAAAAAAGGGGGAAUCCAAUUCCCCUCCUCUUGAACAUGGACUAGCCUCAGUGGCUUGCUACUAAUGAAUUAAAUGGUAUAGAAGUGACUGUAACUUCUUAGACUAGGUGACCAAAGAUGGCACAGCCUCCACCUGGUUCUCUGUCUUGUGAGGCUCACCCUUGGAACCCAGCCAUCAUGCUGUGACAAAGCCAUGUACCACAUGCAGGUGUUUCGGGGAACAGACCUGUCAGAGGUCCUUGCCAACAGCCAACAUCAGUCAGCAUCAACCACUAGACAUGUAAGUGAGGAAGCCUCCAGAUGAUUCCAGUUCCCACCUUCAGCUGAUGUUAGGUGGAGCAGAGACAUGCUGUCCCCACCUGCCUAAACUGCAGAUUCAUGAGUAAUGUAAUUUCUGUCAUUGUUUUAAGCCAUUAAGUUUUGGGGCAGUUUGUCACACAGCAAUAGACAACUGGAACACAGCUCAUAUGCCCCUUCUCAGAACUGCCCUCCCUGAUCAUCCUAAGUGCCCAUUGGCAUUAUCCAUAACCUGAAAAUUAUUAUGAUUGAUCCUAAAGUCCAGCCUGGUGCCUGGCACGUAGGAGAUGCUCAGUGAAUAUUUGUGGAAUGAUUGAAUAAGGAAAUGAAUCCUCUUGUCACAUUUGAAGUUAUCAGUCAUCAAUAAAAUGGGGAUUUGUUUCAUCGUU